rnacentral:rRNA from 1 species
UACGUAGGCAGCGAGCGUUGUUCGGAGUUACUGGGCGUAAAGCGUGCGUAGGCGGUUUUGUAAGUUUGGUGUGAAAUCUCCCGGCUCAACUGGGAGGGUGCGCCGAAAACUGCAAGGCUGGAGUGUGGGAGAGGUAGGCGGAAUUCCUGGUGUAGCGGUGAAAUGCGUAGAUAUCUGGAGGAACACCGGUGGCGAAGGCGACAUCCUGGACCGGUAUUGACGCUGAGGCGCGAAAGCCAGGGGAGCAAAGCGGG